CUCAGAUUGAACGCUGGCGGCAGGCCUAACACAUGCAAGUCGAGCGGAAACGACACUAACAAUCCUUCGGGUGCGUUAAUGGGCGUCGAGCGGCGGACGGGUGAGUAAUGCCUAGGAAAUUGCCUUGAUGUGGGGGAUAACCAUUGGAAACGAUGGCUAAUACCGCAUAAUGCCUACGGGCCAAAGAGGGGGAUCUUCGGACCUCUCGCGUCAAGAUAUGCCUAGGUGGGAUUAGCUAGUUGGUGAGGUAAUGGCUCACCAAGGCGACGAUCCCUAGCUGGUCUGAGAGGAUGAUCAGCCACACUGGAACUGAGACACGGUCCAGACUCCUACGGGAGGCAGCAGUGGGGAAUAUUGCACAAUGGGCGAAAGCCUGAUGCAGCCAUGCCGCGUGUAUGAAGAAGGCCUUCGGGUUGUAAAGCACUUUCAGUCAGGAGGAAAGGUUAGUAGUUAAUACCUGCUAGCUGUGACGUUAC
rnacentral:rRNA from 1 species